UACGUAGGGGGCGAGCGUUAUCCGGAAUUACUGGGCGUAAAGCGCACGCAGGCGGUUCGCCAAGUUUGGAGUGACAGUUGUCGGCUCAACCGACAAAGGACUUCAAAAACUGGUGAACUUGAGGACGAGAGAGGAACAUGGAACUCCAGGUGUAGUAGUGAAAUGCGUAGAUAUCUGGAAGAACACCAAUGGCGAAGGCAA
rnacentral:rRNA from 1 species